rnacentral:rRNA from 1 species
UUCCGGUUGAUCCUGCCGGACCCGACUGCUAUCGGGGUGGGCCUAAGCCAUGCGAGUCGUGCGCCCCGAGCUGCCGGGGCGCGGCGCACGGCUCAGUAACACGUGGUCAACCUGCCCUGCCGACGGGGAUAACCCCGGGAAACUGGGGCUAAUACCCGAUAGGCGCUCGCGCCUGGAACGGGCGAGCGCCGAAAGGGAUGUAGGGGCAUGCUCCCUGCAUCCGCGGCAGGAUGGGACCGCGGCCGAUCAGGUAGUUGGUGGGGUAACGGCCCACCAAGCCGAUAACCGGUACGGGCCCUGAGAGGGGGAGCCCGGAGAUGGGCCCUGAGACAAGGGCCCAGGCCCUACGGGGCGCAGCAGGCGCGAAACCUCCGCUAUGCGCGAAAGCGCGACGGGGUCACCCCGAGUGCCGGCCGCAGAGGCCGGCUUUUGCCCAGUCCAAAAGGCUGGGCGAAUAAGGGGAGGGCAAGCCUGGUGUCAGCCGCCGCGGUAAUACCAGCUCCCCGAGUGGUCGGGACGUUUACUGGGCUUAAAGGACCCGUAGCCGGCCCCACAAGUCCCUCGUUAAAUCCGGCGUCCCAAGCGCCGGGCUGCGGGGGAUACUGUGGGGCUUGGGAGCGGAGGAGGCCGGCGGUACCGCGGGAGUAGGGGUAAAAUCCUCUGAUCCCCGCGGGACCACCAGCGGCGAAGGCGGCCGGCUAAGACGCGUCCGACGGUGAGGGGUGAAAGCUGGGGGAGCGAUCGGGAUUAGAUACCCCGGUAGUCCCAGCUGUAAACGAUGCGGGCUAGGUGUGCGGGCAGCUUCGGGCUGUCCGCGUGCCGCAGGGAAACCGUUAAGCCCGCCGCCUGGGGAGUACGGCCGCAAGGCUGAAACUUAAAGGAAUUGGCGGGGGGGCACCACAAGGGGUGAAGCCUGCGGUUUAAUUGGAGUCAACGCCCGGAACCUUACCGGGGGAGACAGCAGGAUGAAAGCCAGGCUGAAGACCUUGCUAGGCGAGCUGAGAGGUGGUGCAUGGCCGUCGCCGGCUCGUGCCGUGAGGUGUCCUGUUAAGUCAGGCAACGAGCGAGACCCCCGCCCCUAGUUGCCAUCGGGCGCCCUUUGGCGCGCCGGGGAAACUAGGGGGACUGCCGCCGCAAGGCGGAGGAAGGAGGGGGCUACGGCAGGUCAGUAUGCCCCGAAUCCCCCGGGCCACACGCGGGCUGCAAUGGUGGGGACAGAGGGUGCCGACCCCGAAAGGGGGAGGUAAUCCCUAAACCCCACCUCAGUUGGGAUUGAGGGCUGCAACCCGCCCUCAUGAACCUGGAAUCCCUAGUAACCGCGCGUCAUCAUCGCGCGGUGAAUACGUCCCUGCCCCUUGC